UUUUAAAAUUAUUAAAAAUUAACUAAAAAAAAAAUAUAAAAACCUAAAAGAACUGAAAAAAAUAAAUUAUAAUAAUUCGUUCAACUGUAUAUUCGGCUGAGGCAGCAAUAGUGUAACAGGAUAAUCCUUCAGCGCCACGAUUUUUCGUUCGAAAAUCAACAAACUGCGGACCGGGAACAAAAGUCAACAAAAUCUAAGCAAAAGAAACACAAAAAAAGCACGAAUAAUAACAACACGAAUAUAAGCAUAAAAAUCCAACAGCAUGGAUGAGGAACACGACGACGAGAGAAUAUGAGAUUAGAUGGGGCUUUAGUGGAGCCCCACCACGGAGCUCCCGCCAUUGGAAGCUCCUUUGGUGUUAAGAAAUAUCGCGACAAGCGAUGUAAUGAAAACUCACACUGCAACAUUACUAGUGUGGUGAAAUUUGGUGUAAGUCGCAACAACAAUAACAAGUAUAAUUAUAACAACAAGAGUAAGAACAAACAGAGCAAUAAAAGCAAUCAAAAAAAUUACUUGCUUUGUGCACAAAAACAGCAAAAACAGCAACAACAACAAUUGUCAGUCGAAAAUAAAAUUACAACAACACCGCAACAUAUUUUUGAAAAUGUACAAGAGCACGCAACGCUGAGUGCAGAAAUUGAGGAAUUAAAUAAAAAACAUAACAACAACACUAAUAACAAUAGUAGUAAUAGUAAUAGUGACAGUGGCGGUGACGGUGACGGUGAAAACAAUAAAAAUAUUGAAAUUAAUGAAAUAUUUUUCGACAGUACAAACGUUAAAAAUCAAAAAAGCAUAUACGACAAUUUCCAUAUGCAACAACAAAAACAACAAAAACGAGACAAACAAGAAAAACAACAACAUAGCAAUGCCUUUGUUCUGUCUAAAAUGGCUGCCAAUACUGACAUAGUUGCCGAUGCUGACAUUGACGCUACAAUUAACUUUGAUGCAAACGCAAAAGCUAAUGCUGCCAUCAGAUUCGCCAAUUUAGGUAAUAACGGUGUAGCUGUAAGUGGUAGAAACAUGUCACUGUCGUCGUCGUCGUCGGCGUCGUCGUCGUUGUUGUCAGUUGCCCCUUUAAUUGACAGCAUCCACAUUGUCGCAUCUAAGAUUAAGCGUGUCCAACAAUCGUUAAUGCCGGCAACAGUUUCUUGCUGUAAGAAUAUCAAUUUCAUGCGACGCCGCUGCUUGACGUUGCUGUCGUCGUCGUCGUCGUCGCCAUCGUCGUCGGCGUUGCCGUUGCCGUUUAUGCUGUCGUUGCCAUUGCCUUUACGUUUCUCUACGCUCGUAUGGUGUGUUUUGUUUUACACGGUCUUGCUACGACCGAAUUGCGUACGAUGCGACGACGAUAAUUUCUUUUCAGUUAAUAGCUUUAGCAUGGGACCCGAAACAACAACGCCUAAAUUUGAUUUUGCCAGUCGAGGAAACAAGAAGUUCGGGGAUAAAUGCGAACGUACACUGGAAUGUGGCUUUCCUGGCUCGACAUGUGACCAAAAGAAAAAGUCCUGCCAAUGCACUGAGGAUUUGCCGGUCACAAAUCACAUUGAUAAAUGUGGCAAAGAGGCAGCUGUCAACGAGUCCUGCUUCUUCAAUGAGCAAUGCGAAGUGAAGUAUUUCCAAACCGAAUGCCGUGACGGCAAAUGUAUUUGCCGCUUCGAAAUGACACCAAUUUGGGGAAAGGAUGGUUCUGUGGAGUGCAAAGGACGCCAGGAGAAGCGUGGAAAGGAAACCUAUAUUGAUCCGGCUAUGAUUGGCGUACUGGUAGGAAUGGCACUGAUGUUCAUUAUUAUUUGUGUUGUCCUGCGAUUGUUUAGCCAAGCGCGAUGGCGUGAGAAUCGUACAAUUUUCAACACUCCUAACCCGAGGUUGAUGAACGUUUCUCUCCUCCGUGAUAGUAAACUUUUGCAUGGACAAGAACGUCGUGGCUCCAGAAUGUCAGUGCGUGCACCUUCACGUCAACCGAGCAUGGCUUCGCUGCGUCCCCAUUCGCCUAAUCCGUCGCUAGGUAAGACAGGACGAAUGCCACGUUCGAAGAGCAAUACACGUUCCAGUGACUCACGCGUUAGCGAUGUCUCAAAUUGCUCUAGAUUGCUCGAGCAUCCACAUAACACUAAUGCCUCAGCAAACGCAUCUGCAACUGCAUCUGCCUCCACCACAGCCACUGCACACUCGCAACAUGCGCCGAACGCAACACACAUAUCACUGACAGCAGCAACAAAUGAUGCUAUCACUACUACAUACGUAUCCGCGCCCGGUGCUGGAACUGCCUGUGGCAUGUCCAUGAACACUUCACCAUCGGUUGCCAUCAGAACGAAUAAAUUUUAAACGGAACUUGCGUUGCUGUGCCGAUUUGAUCAAUUAUUUUUAAUUUGGCCACAAGCAAGACUAUAUCAGCACCACCGACACCAACAUCCACACCGAGACAUACACCGAUAUAGAAAUCAAUACCGUUAACGGUAGCGAUACCGAUUACGUCAUACCGUCAUAUACGGACAAUACCAUUAUUGAACAGAUAUUGUUGCACUACUUCUGAAAUCGAAACUGAGGUUCACGUUCUGGUUCACACGGCAGUGCGAGCAAUGCAUCUGCUACGUCGAUUCGCUCGACGCGUAGCAAUUCUGUAGCACCUGGC